UCUUUUUGUUUAUGAAGGGGCCAAGGAAGUCGUCUAUCCUUAUCCAUGAAUUGUCCAGAUUCAUCUAUGACAGAAGCAGAAAUCUGGACAAUCAGUAGAACUACUGACCACCAGUUAUGGAGAGGAGUAUUUUAGGAAGAUACAGAGACUGCAGAGAAGCAAAGCAGACUAGUAGAGAAUGAGAUACCCACAGCUCCAAGAAUCCUGGACUGAGGAUACCUUAAUAAAGCCUUUUCCUGUAUGAUCCCCCCACCCCGUU